AGCUCCAAUAGCGUAUAUUAAAGUUGCUGCAGUUAAAAAGCUCGUAGUUGCAUUUCCGAGGCAAGGGAUUAGUCCGACCUUUGGUGGGUAUUUAAUCCUCUUGCCUCGUCCUUGAGUGGUGCUUCUUGGUAUUAAGUUAUCGAGGAGAUAGCCGCUCAUCGUUUACUGUGAGAAAAUUAGAGUGUUCAAAGCAGGCUUAUGCCGUUGAAUAUAUUAGCAUGGAAUAAUAAGAUAGGACCUCGGUACUAUUUUGUUGGUUUGAGAACCAAGGUAAUGAUGAAUAGGGACAGUUGGGGGUAUUCGUAUUCAGUUGUCAGAGGUGAAAUUCUUAGAUUUACGGAAGACGAACUACUGCGAAAGCAUUUAGCAGGGAUGUUUUCA
rnacentral:rRNA from 1 species